rnacentral:tmRNA from 1 species
CCUAAAAAAGAUAAUCGGCAACGAUUACGCACUCGCUGCUUAAACAAGCAGUGCCGGAACUUGUCCCUCUCCUGCCGGGAUAAGAACUCCGGACGCAAUGCGGGAUAGGGUUUUGCGCUCGCCUGAACGCAAAGCUUGAACCUCACAGGCUAGCUCUUGUUCUGCGCCAACCUUUACGGGCGUUUUCAAAAGCGAAACUUUAAAUGCAAAGGAAACGCAUGUAUGAGCGAACGCAGAAGGAAUCUUGGACAGGGGUUCGACUCCCCUCACCUCCAUUA